CACCUCUGCAUUUUUACUGCAGUUGCUGAAAUGAAUGUGUAUCAAGACAUAUGCACGGUGACAGAAAAAACAAAUAGUUCUUAUGAAUGUAUGAAAAUAAAAACAUAAACCGCUUGUGUAGAUUUGGUAUGUUUCUCUGGACUUUCAACUUUCCCCACUAUUUUCACAUUGCUUUUCUUACUGUAACUGUAACUUCCUUUGUUUGGCAUUGAAACUGGACUUCACUCAUGACAUUGUUUGUUAUGUAAUAAAAAUAAACUGAAGAACCUAGCAUGGACAGACUCUCCGGGAGAGUCACUGCGAGUGAGUAACUGUCAAAUACAGGUCACUACAAUCAACUACUUCCUGGAUUUCUUCACAAGCUCUUUCUCAAGUCAUCAUGGAAAGAAGAUAUAACUUGAGACCAAGGGCAUCUGGUCCAACAUGGCCCUACCAGUUUGUUCCUCCUCCACCUUGGAUGUGCACUCUGAUGAGCUCUUCUUUCAGCUUAAGAGAACAAAAAGCUGCUAAAUGAAAAUACCAGCUUACAGAAGACACUGGGGGGAAAUUUACACUUGGCCAAAGAGGACAUCAGAAGGUUGGACAUGGCUUAAAGGCGACAGAGGAAGGCCGGGAGGAGUACAAGUAGAGAAAGCAAAACAUCAGAGAGCAUGAAAAAGAAAUCUCUUCACUUCAAGAAAGUUUCCAGGCUCAGGAGGAGGCGACAGAAACAGUCCAAGACAUCUGGACAAAGGAGUGCUACAAGACAAGGGCUGCCUUUGACAACCAGCUGAAAAUGAUCCAGUCAAUGUGCGACACUCAGUGCGACAAAGACCUUCCCGCAAAUGCAGGCUGACCGGCAGAGUGAGGUGAGCCAGCUGCAAGAGCAGAUUGUGGAACAGGAGAAAGUGAUCAACACAAUUUAAGAGGAAAUUAAGGUUUGCACAGAACAGCACCUCAUUAUUUCAUCCCAGCUCAGCCUCACGCAUUCUCCUCAGAAUGAAGUUCAGACAUGAAGUUCAGAAGGAGCUGGCUCAGAAGGAAGACAGCUGAGAGAAGAGAAAGAGGCAUGAGAAAGAGGAUGCCCUGAUGAAGGUGGUCAGUCAAACUGAGGAUGACCUAAAUUGUUUGAAACAUCCAUCUUCAGGCGCCUGUCCUGCUACAGAACAAGCAGAAGUGACCCUCCCACUGCAACCUCUACCCCUUCAGGCCUACUACUCAUUACCCCUACUGUCUCUACCAAAUUUCUCUUCAUCCCUCUACCUCCCAUCACCCAUCCGCUCCCCUGUCCUUUUCUCUUGUAAAAUAUUUUAAAUGCCUCAAUAAAUUCCAAAAACGUCAAUAAUAUAUGAUUUCAUCUUUUUUUCUGAUGAUAGACU